rnacentral:lncRNA from 1 species
AUGUGGCUCGGUGGUGGAGUGCCCCUGAGGUCAUUCCCUGCACAGUGACCGAGCACCUGCCUAGCGCACAGCCCCCCACGUGGCCCUCACCCGCCCUCCGCAGGCUCCCUGUGCUGCUCCUCCUGCUGUCCCUCCUGCUGCUCCUCCUGGUGGGCUCCUCGCUGCUGGUCUGGAGGAGGCUGCAGAAACGGGUCAAAGCUGGUGAGCGCUCAGAACUGUCCCAGAACCUCAGGCAGGCUGCCGGGCAGAGUGAGCCCUACUACACAAAUCUGACGCUGCAGACGUGGUCCCUGCGGGAAGAGCCAGUGCCCCCAAGGCAGGCGGAGGUGGAGUACAGCAUGUUGGUAAGCCAGGUCCUGGCCCCCGGCAGGGGACCCUGGGCUGCCCCACG